rnacentral:rRNA from 1 species
UGGGGAAUAUUGGACAAUGGGCGCAAGCCUGAUCCAGCCAUGCCGCGUGAGUGACGAAGGCCUUAGGGUUGUAAAGCUCUUUUGGCGGGGAAGAUAAUGACGGUACCCGCAGAAUAAGCUCCGGCUAACUUCGUGCCAGCAGCCGCGGUAAUACGAAGGGAGCUAGCGUUGUUCGGAAUCACUGGGCGUAAAGCGCACGUAGGUGGGCAGUUAAGUCAGGGGUGAAAGCCCGAGGCUCAACCUCGGAACUGCCUUCAAAACUGGCGACCUGGACUCAAGUAGAGGCAAGUGGAAUUGCGAGUGUAGAGGUGAAAUUCGUAGAUAUUCGCAGGAACACCAGUGGCGAAGGCGACUUGCUGGACUUGUAGUGACGCUGAGACGCGAAAGCGUGGGGAGCAAACAGGAUUAGAUACCCCCGUAGUCCCUGAGCGGGCUGGCAAGGCGCAU